GUGUGUGUGUGUGUGUGUGUGUGUAGGAUGAUGCAGUGAUGGAGAACAACAUGCAGAUGGAGGUGACAGGUAAACUAAAAGCACACUUCAACACUGCGCCGAAGCACAACAACACAACAGCUGGAGUGUCAGUCAUCAUGCUCCAAGGCAGGGAACACAGCUCUUGAUAAGGAGAACCUCCAGCUCACCACUCGUCAUUGUGCAGGCUCAACCUCACCAGCUCACAAAGAAGAACCUUCUUCUCUUCCAAUAAAACCAGCUUCACCAACAAAGUCGGGACCAGAUUCCCCAACCAAACAGGCAUCAGACACGAGAGCACCAAAACCUGCUGAGCUGGCACCACCACCACCACCACCCGCUGAGACCACAGAGCCUGUCGAGCCUGAAGAUGAUCUUCUCUGCUCUCCACCCGUUUCUUCACCCGUCAACCCUGUCGCAGCAUUCCACGCUCCUCCUCCAUCCCUGUUUCCCUCUCCUCCUUCUACACCUCCAAGAUCCACAACCCCACCGUGUCCAGCUGAGCCGCCACGUCCCAGCAUGCUCUCUGCUGCAGAGCGUACGCAGGAGGUUUGAAAGUCUUCUCUCCGCUGCUCGUCCAUCCCCCGUGUACGUCGUCAGACAUGGAAUGAGGAGCGUAAACAUUGACCCUGAGCUUUUCCUGUGGCUGUAAACUGAGCCGGUGACUGCUGUGUCCACGCGUGUUUCUCACUGAGGCAGAAGAUGUGAGACAUUUUCUCAGAGUUUGAAAAAAAAAAAAGACUUGAUUGUGUGAGUGUGUGUGUAUAUAUAUAUAUAUAGGUCUAUAUUUAUUAUGGAGGAUGUGGAUUGUGGGAAUUUAAAUCAGUGUUCCGAGUGGUUUUCUGUGGACGUCAUAAAUUACUGUAUCACAUUAAUGUGAAUUUUCUUUUCCCUUUUAUUUAUUACCUCAUUUCUUCUGCGUCUACUGUAAAUAUCCACCACACAGAGUGGUGUUCCUUUCCUUUAGCAUAUCACAUGUCCAAACUUCUGUCGUCUGUAGCCACCUGCAGCCUCUGUGAGCACAAAUAGAUUUCAGUUAAGUUUUUCCGGCAACUUAAAGAUGUAGAGCAUGAACGAAACCGAUGUAAUACCUGCCAAAGUACCGAGCAGCUAAGAAUUCUUGUGUUCUUUAAAUCAUGUAUGUAAAAGUCACAGAUAUGAGUUUAAAACUUCUAGAAACCAACCACAGGUCGUUUCCUCUCGUCUCCACUGCAGUCGGUGAACAUUUUAACCAAAGAUUCAAAUUGUAAAUACGUUCAUAUGCCUGAAGAUACACAAACCACAUCGAAUUUAGAAGCAGAAAGGAAUCAAUUUUCCUAUUUUCCUUUUAAAUGAUCUCCCAAAUCUCAGUUAGAUACUCUCAUCCUAUAAGGGAACGUGACCCACAGGUUGGGAACCCAUGCACUACAGCAUCUAGUAAUUGUUUUAUGGUGUUCAGUAAAAGUUGUCUUUCCAGAAAUAGCAAUUGUUUGCGCUCUCUGAUCAGCAUUUGCUACCCAAUAAACACACAUAGAUAAACACUACCGUCUAAAUGAUACAGCUACUGUUUGCGAUGUUAGUUGUUGAAAUGCAACAAAGAUUGUCACCAAAAAUCAAAUCCACAGAAAAAGAUCUGGUCCAAUGAAACAAAGACGACACCGUCACGUUGCAGAAAAUAUGAAGUGACUGGAUUUUUAGUUUUUUUGUAAUAUAUUGGAUUUACAAAGUAUGAAUGAAAGCUUCGUUUGCCUCUCUGCCUUUGACUCUUGUGCAUCCAGAGUUGCUUGAUAUCGGAUAUUUCAUUUGUUUCCAUUUAAACUGGACAGUUUAUCCCAGAAAGCUUCGCGCGCUCAGCUGCAAGAACGCUCGUCUCCCUCUUCCACGACCUCCCAGUGAGACACUCACACACACACACGUAGUGCACUUGGUUAUUUAGCUUCUAUGAUGUAUUUGUAGUUUAAGAGUAGUGUUUCAUAUGUUUGUAAAGGGAAACAUGUACGAGGACCGUUAACAGGUAGAUCGACCGUGUCUAAAUAGUCUUCGUUAGUGGCUGCGUUUGCUGCUCUACUGUUAAAACAAAACAAAAAAAAAAAGCAAUAAAGGUUUGAAAUGA